AUGUCAAUUCAUUGGCUUCAGCUGCAAUGCACAGGUUGCCAACAAUUGACCACUGUACAGUAUCAGACUCCGAAGUUCUGGCCCGGGCAUGACAUAUUCUUGACAACACAAGGCUCUGGAGACAUGGGAUGUGCUGCUUCCAGAUUGGAAGAUGAGGAGGCUGUCAAGAUGUGCCGGGACAGGAGGGACUUCAUCAAGCAGGCACUGGAUCAGCACAACCGUUUUGCGUCCUCUCACAUCGCCUACAUCGAGUCCAUGAAAUGUGUCUCGAUGGCCCUGCAGCGGUUCGUUGCUGGAGAUGAUCGGCACGAGCUCAUUUUUGACCCAUUCAUUUCUCCUGUCAAGCAACAGAAGCCAGAGAUGCUCGGCCUUCCUUAUGGUUCGUAUGAGAAGAGGACUGUUCAUGUCGCGAAGUACUUGAUGUCAGGACCAAACCCAUCAGUGUCAGUUGAAGAGGCUCCACGGCCCGUGGAAACAAUCCGUGUUGAGUCACAUUACCCUGUGGAUGGCUAUGCUGGCACAGAUAGAUUCUUCCCAGCCAAUUCCUCACCGAUGAGGCCAUCUUCUCACUAUACACCUUAUGACAGGCCAAGCUAUGUAGCUCCAUCACCCCAGGAACCAGUGAGGAAUGCUUAUUACAUGCCACCUUAUGACAGGCCAAGCUAUGUAGCUCCAUCACCCCAGGAACCAGUGAGGAAUGCUCAUUACAUGCCACCUUAUGACAGGCCAAACUACGUACCUUCAUCACCCCAGGAUCCAGUGAAGAAUUCUUCUUAUUACAUGCCACCUUAUGCUCCAUCACCCCAGGAGCCAGUGAGGAAUUCUUAUUACAUGCCACCCUAUGAGAGGCCAAACUACGUACCUCCAUCACCCCAGGAGCCAGUGAGGAAUUCCUCUUAUUACACGCCACCUUAUGACAGGCAAAGCUAUCCACCUGCUCCACCCCAGGAUCCAAGGAGGACAUCUUAUUACGCAUCUCAUGACAGGCCAAACUACCCACCCUCAUCACCCCAGGAACCAGAAUCAUCACCGUGGGACUCCUUCUGGAAUCCAUUCUCGUCGCUGGACAGCUAUCCGUACCCGCGCCCUCGGAGUAGCUAUGACAAUGUGGUCACUGACGAUGAAUUGGCACGGUUACAGCGGGUAAGAGAGGAGGAAGGAAUCCCAGAACUCGAAGAGGAAGAUGAUGAAUGUCAAAAACAUGAACAAAUGCACAACAAAGAGGGGGAGGGGGAGGGGGAGGAUGAUGAUGAUGAAGAAGAAUCUGAUGAGGAUGAUGAUGAAGAAGAAGAAUCUGAUGAAUGUGAGCAUUCAGAUGACCAAAGAUGUAUGGCUUCUAACGAGGCUCGCCCAGGAAAAUCUGAAGUCAAUGUCAAGCAAGAACAAAAGGGACAUCAAUCCAAAGGUGUUCAAUGCGCAGGCUCAUCCGAGCCCCGAAAUGCAGUAGACCAUGAGAUCAAGGCACAUAAGAAAGAACUAAUGAGGAACAAAGUAGCAAAUGCAGAAGAAACCCCAGGUUUCACUGUGUAUCUGAACCGAAAGCCAACGAGUUUGGUCGAGGCUAUGAAAGAUAUUGACAGUCAGUUCUUGGGGAUCUGUAGCGCUGCUCAGGAAGUCUCACGGAUGUUGGAGGCAAGUCGAGCUCAAUACUCAACCUCAAAUGAUCUCUCUGUAAAGAUGCUAAACCCAGUCGCACUUUUGCGAUCUGCAUCAAUUCGAUCAUCAUCUUCCCGCUUCCUUCUUGCUUCCUCUGGCUCAAUAGAUGAUCUUUUUGACAAUGAUACAAGCAGCUGUUACUCUGAAGAAUCUUGCAGCACAAUGUCUGGAAGUCAUCACUCCACUCUUGAUAGACUGUAUACAUGGGAGAAGAAAUUAUACAAAGAAGUGAAGGUGGGUGAGCGAUUAAGACUUGAGUAUGAGAAGAGGAUGGCACAUUUGCGGAGCCAGGAUGUGAAAGGGGAGGAGCCUUCUUCUGUCGAUAAGACUCGUUCAGCGUUGAGAAGCUUACAAACUCGGAUGAAGGUGUCAAUACAAACUGUUCAGUCAAUAUCAAGAAGAAUUGAAGUUCUAAGAGACGAGGAGUUGCACCCUCAACUUAUGGAGCUUAUCCAAGGACUGUCGCGGAUGUGGCGAGCCAUGGCUGAACGCCACGAGGCUCAGAAGCGGACCAUCGACGACGCCAAGCUUCUCUUCCUGCAACACCGCGCAUCGGCCGCGACCACCGUGGCUCUCGGUCCUCCAGAGGCGACGACGCCGCCUCCCGCCGCCGUCGCGCUCGAGUGCGAGGUGCGAGCCUGGCGCGGAGCCCUGGACGCCUGGCUAUCGGCGCAGCGCGCGUACGCGCGCGCCCUGGCCGCCUGGGCACGACGCUGCCUGGGCAUUGGCGCGGGCGCCGCGGCGCCGCGCACCGUGCCGCCGGCGUUCCUGGUGUGCAUGGAGUGGGGGCUCGUCGUCGAAGCGGCUUCAGAGGCGCGGGUGAUGGACGGGCUGGACUUCUUCGUGGCCGGCGUAGGGUCGGUGUGCUCGGGAGCCGCCGCGGGCAUGGAGGGCAUGGCGGGGCGCGUGCUCUGCGCCGGCUUGGGAGCCGUCACCGGCGCCAUGGCCGAGUUCGCCGCGGCAUCGGCGGACGGGUACGACGCCGCGGUGUCGGCGGCGCUGGCCGCGCGCGCGCCGGAGGGCGGGGAGGAGGAAAACGCGGGAGGACCGCCGCAACAGUAG
rnacentral:rRNA from 1 species